rnacentral:rRNA from 1 species
AGUGAGAUGGUUACGUACCAAGGGAACUUUCUCUGGCGCCUCAUUGGCCAUGCCAGAGCAACAAUGCUCAACACCAUAAGCCCUAACCCACUGGCCAAGUAACGAUGAAACAUCUCGACCCAAGCCUUAAGAGGCUCAAGAGGAUGGUCCGGGUAUCGGGCUCCUGCUUGCUCAGUAUUGGGUACGACAAUUUGCCCGUAACAGCCUGGCCAAUCAGGGCACCCAAGACCCGCAUCAACGAGACGUGUCCAGGCGCCCACCAAUAUAACCAAAACGGUUAACCCUCCCCCCCAUAACGUCAACCGUAACAACCAUCCUAGGCGUUUUGAGCUUGCAGCAACCAUACCGUCCUCCCACAAUGGCAGAGUAAGCGCCUCUUAAUAGGGAUUAACUUUCAGUGCAUGCUGAAUAUCUUCCAGUAGCUGCCGUGCUGCCAAAUGCCUAUCAAAAGCAACUACCGCCUGCCCCAUAGGGUCCAACAACCACACACGGUUGGGUUCAACCCAACUCGCAUACAUCGACCAAUGCGUGACCUUUUCCCCUGGUAAAGUUGCCUCACUGCCUCCAAUACGCAGCCGGGUAAGCCGGCCCGCAUCUCGGCCUAACGCUCGAUGAAGGCACCAAAGCUCAUCACUGUGCUCACUACACUCUUGUGAGCAAUCAAACGCUAAGACCCAUGUUUUUGUAUCGAGUACUCUCUUAUCAUCCACUGGCCAUUGCGCUAACUCGGGCACGUUCACAUUAACGUUGCCAUUGGCCAUGCUCUUUUCUGGAAUUCCUACUUGCCAAGACACCAUUGCCCAAGCCAGUAGCAUAGGUGCAGCAAAUAUAAGAAAGACCAGUAUAAGCUUUAAUUUUUGGCGCUUAUGGUAAGACAGAUUAAUCAUGGUGGUUCCUUACUGUUUUGGACGAGUCGCGCAACAGCUGACGUCCGCCGAUCCACAUCAUCACACAGGCAGCAAGCGAUAAUGCCCACCACUGAAACGCAUAACCAAUAUGGCGGGCGGGAGGAAUGGUGCUUGGCUUCCACCAACGCGCAAAUACACCCUCACCUUGCUCGGCGUGGAGCCACCCAGAGUGAUCAAGCUCCCCCAAUGUAUCCAUCCAUGCAUCAGAGCUUAACUGCUGUAGUCGUUUACCCUCACGAUUCGGCCCAUAAACCGGCCCUUGUUCACCUGCCAUUUCCCAUUCACCCUCUAUAGAGACAAGCGUAUCCGGUGUUACCGCACUUGGUUGAGAGCUGCUAACCCCCGUUUCAAUAAAGCCACGCUGAAUUAACCAGAGCUGACCAUGUAAAUCCUUAAAAGGGGUUAAAACUGCGACUCCCAAACGCCCAUUAAGCGUGCGGUUAUCUAGAAAGAGCGUGUACGGUGCAAGGUAAUGCCUGAACCGUUCCGGGAUUCCCGGAGGCUCCAAACCUUGAGAGGAUGGAGCUAUGAGUAAAUCAAAUCGAUAUUCCCCUGAAGUCCGCCAGCGGGCGGUACGCAUGGUCUUCGACCAUGAAGCUGAUUAUCCCUCCCAGUGGGCCGCUAUCGGUGCCAUUGCGCCUAAAAUCGGCUGUAAUCCUGAAACACUGCGCAGCUGGGUCCGCCAGGCGGAGCGUGACGCCGGUCGUCGAGAAGGCACUACGACCUCUGAGCGUGAUCGAAUUAAGGCGCUAGAACGUGAAAAUCGCGGUCGAAGAUACCAGGUGGCUGCAACUGUUUAGUAAAAACACAGCACUCUGCUAACGCGCAAGCGGACGUAUAGGGUGUGACGCCUGCCCGGUGCCGGAAGGUUAAGUGAUGGUGUUAGGAUUCGUCCGAAGCUCUUGAUCGAAGCCCCGGUAAACGGCGGCCGUAACUAUAACGGUCCUAAGGUAGCGAAAUUCCUUGUCGGGUAAGUUCCGACCUGCACGAAUGGCGUAAUGAUGGCCACGCUGUCUCCACCCGAGACUCAGUGAAAUUGAAAUCGCCGUGAAGAUGCGGUGUACCCGCGGCUAGACGGAAAGACCCCGUGAACCUUUACUAUAGCUUCACACUGGACGCUGAUGUUGCCUGUGUAGGAUAGCUGGGAGGCUUAGAAACCCGGACGCCAGUUCGGGUGGAGCCAACCUUGAAAUACCAGCCUGGCAUCAUUGGCGUUCUCACUCAGGUCCGUGAUCCGGAUCGAGGACAGUGUGUGGUGGGUAGUUUGACUGGGGCGGUCUCCUCCCAAAGCGUAACGGAGGAGCACGAAGGUACCCUCAGCACGGUCGGACAUCGUGCAAUGAGUGCAAGAGCAUAAGGGUGCUUAACUGCGAGACAGACACGUCGAGCAGGUACGAAAGUAGGUUCUAGUGAUCCGGUGGUUCUGUAUGGAAGGGCCAUCGCUCAACGGAUAAAAGGUACUCCGGGGAUAACAGGCUGAUACCGCCCAAGAGUUCACAUCGACGGCGGUGUUUGGCACCUCGAUGUCGGCUCAUCACAUCCUGGGGCUGAAGUCGGUCCCAAGGGUAUGGCUGUUCGCCAUUUAAAGUGGUACGCGAGCUGGGUUUAGAACGUCGUGAGACAGUUCGGUCCCUAUCUGCCGUGGGCGUAGGAUGUUUGAGAAGGGCUGCUCCUAGUACGAGAGGACCGGAGUGGACGCACCUCUGGUGUUCCGGUUGUCACGCCAGUGGCAUUGCCGGGUAGCUAAGUGCGGACGGGAUAACCGCUGAAAGCAUCUAAGCGGGAAGCCCCCUUCAAGAUGAGACAUCCCUGAGGCCUUGAGCCUCCUAAAGGGCCCAGCAAGACCAGCUGGUUGAUAGGUCGGAUGUGGACGCGCUGCAAGGCGUUGAGCUAACCGAUACUAAUGGCCCGUGAGGCUUGACCCU